rnacentral:rRNA from 1 species
AGUGAACGCUGGCGGUAGGCCUAACACAUGCAAGUCGAACGGCAGCACAGUAAGAGCUUGCUCUUACGGGUGGCGAGUGGCGGACGGGUGAGGAAUACAUCGGAAUCUACUUUUUCGUGGGGGAUAACGUAGGGAAACUUACGCUAAUACCGCAUACGACCUACGGGUGAAAGCAGGGGAUCUUCGGACCUUGCGCGAUUGAAUGAGCCGAUGUCGGAUUAGCUAGUUGGCGGGGUAAAGGCCCACCAAGGCGACGAUCCGUAGCUGGUCUGAGAGGAUGAUGAGCCACACUGGAACUGAGACACGGUCCAGACUCCUAAGGGAGGCAGCAGUGGGAAAUAUUGGACAAUGGGCGCAAGCCUGAUCCAGCCAUACCGCGUGGGUGAAGAAGGCCUUCGGGUUGUAAAGCCCUUUUGUUGGGAAAGAAAAGCAGCAGGUUAAUACCCCGCUGUUCUGACGGUACCCAAAGAAUAAGCACCGGCUAACUUCGUG